rnacentral:rRNA from 1 species
AUUGAACGCUGGCGGCAUGCCUUACACAUGCAAGUCGAACGGUAACGGGCCUUCGGUUGCUGACGAGUGGCGAACGGGUGAGUAAUACAUCGGAACGUGCCCGAUCGUGGGGGAUAACGAGGCGAAAGCUUUGCUAAUACCGCAUACGAUCUACGGAUGAAAGCAGGGGACCGCAAUGCCUCGCGCGGGCGGAGCGGCCGAUGGCAGAUUAGGUAGUUGGUGGGAUAAAAGCUUACCAAGCCGACGAUCUGUAGCUGGUCUGAGAGGAUGAUCAGCCACACUGGGACUGAGACACGGCCCAGACUCCUACGGGAGGCAGCAGUGGGGAAUUUUGGACAAUGGGCGAAAGCCUGAUCCAGCCAUGCCGCGUGCAGGAUGAAGGCCUUCGGGUUGUAAACUGCUUUUGUACGGAACGAAAAGCCUUCUUCUAAUACAGAGGGGUCAUGACGGUACCGUAAGAAUAAGCACCGGCUAACUACGUG